GCGAACUGACGAGGAGCUUGCUCCUUUGACGUUAGCGGCGGACGGGUGAGUAACACGUGGGUAACCUACCUAUCAGACUGGAAUAACUCCGGGAAACCGGGGCUAAUGCCGGAUAACAUAUCGAACCGCCUGGUUCGAUCGUGAAAGACGGUCUUGCUGUCACUUAUAGAUGGACCCGCGCCGU
rnacentral:rRNA from 1 species